AUUUAAAUAGCUUAAAAAGAGUAUAAUAUUGAAGAUAUUAGGGUGAUUGAUUAUAUAAUCUUUAAAUA
rnacentral:tRNA from 1 species